ACUCCGGUGUACAGUUGAGGUGCAGGAAAGGAUUACAGAUUGACUGCCUCUGCUGACAACGAAUUAAAAAACAUACAACAAAGAGUUUGAAGACAGUUAAUAGGAUUACUCAAUGUUGCAUCUGCAAGACAAGACUUUUUUUUUUUUUUAAACUAAAAAUCUUAAAGAGAAAUCCCAGAACCUUUACACUUUCAUUAACAGUUAAAACAGAAUAAAGAGCCAUGCUCUCACCCAAAGUAUUUCCAUAUGAGAGAGAUUAAUGAGGAUCGAUGUUUAGUUUUUUUUUAAAAAUCUGCAAACACAAUUAUGAAAGAUCUUAUAAUAUUCAAACUUGAGUUAAUAAGGUACUGAUUAUGCAGUUUUAAGUGCUAAGCAACUAAAAUCAAGUUAUUUGUAUUACAGUAGUGCUUCAGAGCCCUAAUCAAGAAAGCAUGGGUUUAUUUUUAAAUGUAUGGUAUAUGCUUGUCAAAAAGACAUUUGAGAAAAGUGCACCUAAGCCCUAUGAAGGAAAUUAUGAAUUAUUUUUUAUAAGUCUAAUACACUAAAGUAAAUUUGAAGAACUUUCUCAAAAUAAUUUACUUGACAGUAAUUAUUUGAAGGAAAGGCAGAGCAUUUAAAUCAUUUACCUGCUGUAAAACAAGCAAGGAUUAAUACCAUUUUUACAGAUUAGGUACCAACUCGUUAAGUGACCUAAAUUGCACAGGAUGAAGUUCUGGCCCUACUCAAGUUCAUGGAAGUUCUGCUGUUGAUUUUGAAGGGGCGAGGAUCUCAUCAAUAGUCUUCUACAGCAUGAAAAGGUAAGCCAUUUUUGAAGCCUCAAAAAUAAUCUUAAGAUUCUCAAUUCAUCUCAGUAUCCACCAUGUGCUACAUCAUAAACUCUGCAAAAUAAAAUAGCUUCUUCACAGCUACCUGUAAAGUAUUUGGCACACUUUUUAUGCCACAAACAAUAAACAGUCUUUGAAAGUGAUAUGGCAGACACUGAGAAAACAAGCACAUUUAAUGAAGUUUAUCCAUCUUCAUUUUUAUUAUGGUUUAAAGUUUUGCUUCUAAAUGCAGUCUUUGGUACGGUCACUGACCAGCAGUAGUAAUUUCCAGACAAAUGUGUGGAAUAAGAGCUUAAUGCCAAACUCUCACUAUCUGCUUCUAACCUGGGAGUUGAAAAGGAGCAUGAGGUGGUUGGUGAGGAGGAAAGAGAAUGGUGCCCAGGAAGACAGCAAUAAUGCAUAUGGAAGCUUUUUGGGGCUGGGGGAGGACUUCAAAUAUGAUAAAUUAAAUUUUAAUUUAGUAACCUAAAUCAAUAAUCUUAGAUUACUCUCUGGGACACUGAUAUAAGGACAUUUACUGAAGGCAGUCAGUUACAAAACCUAGGUGAACUAACAUUUACACCUUCUCAGACAGUCGUAUCACACCAUAAGACUCACCAUAUAUAACAGAACACAAAUGCAUCUAUUUUACCUUUGAAAUACUUACC